rnacentral:rRNA from 1 species
CUAACUCAGCAAUGAGAGGCAGGCGACCACGGUGGGCUUAGCGACUGGGGUGAAGUCGUAACAAGGUAGCCGUAGGGGAACCUGCGGCUGGAUCACCUCCUUUCUAAGG